rfam:Schistosoma haematobium scaffold416_12, whole genome shotgun sequence.
AUCCAGCUCACGGGUCCCAAAUAGGACAAAACGCUCGUCAAGCUGGAU